rnacentral:rRNA from 1 species
AACGCGAAGAACCUUACCCACCUUUGACAUGGCAGGAAGUUUCCAGAGAUGGAUUCGUGCUCGAAAGAGAACCUGCACACAGGUGCUGCAUGGCUGUCGUCAGCUCGUGUCGUGAGAUGUUGGGUUAAGUCCCGCAACGAGCGCAACCCUUGCCAUUAGUUGCUACGAAAGGGCACUCUAAUGGGACUGCCGGUGACAAACCGGGGGAAGGUGGGGAUGACGUCAAGUCCUCAUGGCCCUUAUAGGUGGGGCUAGAAACGUUAUACAAUGGCCGGUACAAAGGGUCGCGAAGCCGCGAGGUGGAGCCAAUCCCAUAAAGCCGGUCGUAGUCCGGAUCGCAGUCUGCAACUCGACUGCGUGAAGUCGGAAUCGCUAGUAAUCGUGGAUCAGCAUGUCACGGUGAAUACGUUCCCGGGUCUUGUACACACCG